rnacentral:lncRNA from 1 species
GGCAGGAAUCUGACAUUGGGCCAGGACAAGGAAGUAAGUUCAGGCAGUAAUCUAAUUUUAGGCUAGAACAGGGAAGUAGGCUUCAGGCAAGAAUCUGAUUUUGGGCUUGGACAGGAAAGUAGGCUCAGAUAUCUUGGUCAUCCUGAUAAGGCCUUAGAAACAAUGAUCAUGGGACUGUGUUUAUAGUCUUGCUUGUUCCUUGACUAUUUGUGUUUAUUGUGCUGCUUGCCCUUAUUACUCGCAUGUACUUAAAAUGGUAUAAAAGCAGAUUGGGAAAAAAUAAACCCGCCCCAGAACUGGCUGGGGUCCUGUUACAAUGUUGUCUAAUUGUCUUUUUUUCUUUUUAGUCCUCAGUCCUGCACUGGAGAACCUGUUGACUGACUGAGCUGGCUUGGUUAGAGGAUGGAUGCUGCAGAAGCCAGACCCUUUGACCUCUUCUCAAGCAGUGCCAACAGAACUUGGGGAAAAGUAUAUUCAAUAACAUUUGCGAGAAAUAAGUUAGGAGGUUCCUUUUCAGAAUUAUGGAAGCAAGGAAGAUGGCAACACCAAUGUAGCAGGGGAUGAAGAGGAAGGCGUGUCAAAAUUGUUUGAGAGAAGAAGACAGAGCCUGUCCUUGGCCUCAUCUACAAAGCAACAGGUUGGGAGGCAACUCUCUUCAAUGUAGGGAAAAGAACCUCAUUAGGACCUGCUGAAC